AACGAACGCUGGCGGCAGGCUUAACACAUGCAAGUCGAACGCAUCCUUCGGGGUGAGUGGCAGACGGGUGAGUAACGCGUGGGAACGUGCCCUUCAGUUCGGGAUAACCCAGGGAAACUUGGGCUAAUACCGGAUACGUGCGAGAGCAGAAAGAUUUAUCGCUGAAGGAUCGGCCCGCGUCUGAUUAGCUAGUUGGUGGGGUAAUGGCCCACCAAGGCGACGAUCAGUAGCUGGUCUGAGAGGAUGAUCAGCCAGACUGGGACUGAGAACGGCCCAGACUCCUACGGGAGGCAGCAGUAGGGAAUUUUCCACAAUGGACGAAAGUCUGAUGGAGCAACGCCGCGUGCGGGAUGAAUGCCCUUGGGUUGUAAACUGCUUUUAUAAGUGACGAAUAUGACGGUAACUUAUGAAUAAGGACCGGCUAACUCCGUGCCAGCAGCCGCAGUAA
rnacentral:rRNA from 1 species